AUUGAACGCUGGCGGCAGGCCUAACACAUGCAAGUCGAACGGUAACAGGAAGAAGCUUGCUUCUUUGCUGACGAGUGGCGGACGGGUGAGUAAUGUCUGGGAAACUGCCUGAUGGAGGGGGAUAACUACUGGAAACGGUAGCUAAUACCGCAUAACGUCGCAAGACCAAAGAGGGGGGACCCUUCGGGGCCUCUUGCCAUCGGAUGUGCCCAGAUGGGAUUAGCUAGUAGGUGGGGUAACGGCUCACCUAGGCGACGAUCCCUAGCUGGUCUGAGAGGAUGACCAGCCACACUGGAACUGAGACACGGUCCAGACUCCUACGGGAGGCAGCAGUGGGGAAUAUUGCACAAUGGGCGCAAGCCUGAUGCAGCCAUGCCGCGUGUAUGAAGAAGGCCUUC
rnacentral:rRNA from 1 species